rnacentral:rRNA from 1 species
GUGGAUUAGAUACCCUAGUAGUCCACACCGUAAACGUUGGGCGCUAGGUGUGGGAUCCAUUCCACGGGUUCCGUGCCGCAGCUAACGCAUUAAGCGCCCCGCCUGGGGAGUACGGCCGCAAGGCUAAAACUCAAAGGAAUUGACGGGGGCCCGCACAAGCGGCGGAGCAUGCGGAUUAAUUCGAUGCAACGCGAAGAACCUUACCUGGGUUUGACAUACGCCGGAAACAUCCAGAGAUGGGUGCCCUUUUUGUCGGUGUACAGGUGGUGCACGGCCGUCGUCAACU